rnacentral:rRNA from 1 species
GAUGAACGCUGGCGGCGUGCUUAACACAUGCAAGUCGAACGGAAAGGCCAGUGCUUGCACUGGUACUCGAGUGGCGAACGUGUGAGUAACACGUGGGUGAUCUGCCCUGUACUUCGGGAUAAGCUUGGGAAACUGGGUCUAAUACCGGAUAGGACAACUUUUUGGAUAUUGUUGUGGAAAGCUUUUGCGGUAUGGGAUGAGCUCGCGGCCUAUCAGCUUGUUGGUGGGGUAAUGGCCUACCAAGGCGUCGACGGGUAGCCGGCCUGAGAGGGUGUACGGCCACAUUGGGACUGAGAUACGGCCCAGACUCCUACGGGAGGCAGCAGUGGGGAAUAUUGCACAAUGGGCGCAAGCCUGAUGCAGCGACGCCGCGUGGGGGAUGAAGGCCUUCGGGUUGUAAACUCCUUUCGCUAGGGACGAAGCGCAAGUGACGGUACCUGGAGAAGAAGCACCGGCUAACUACGUG